rnacentral:lncRNA from 1 species
GUUAGGCAGUUUAGCUGGUAACAGUAGGUUGUUAGUAGAAUAAAUGGUUAAGAAUUCAAAGGGUCAUAACCUUAGGAAUCCGCUGGCCAAUGAAUCAUCUUUUUGAUAGGAUAAAUAGGUUGACAAAAGAGAGAUUGAGAGCUAGACUGAGAAUCGUAAGCCAAGGUAAGCUUGGUACUACUUCUUUGUUUUCUUUAUUAUUUGCUUAUGAAGAAUGGUGAUUGAGAGAAGUAUUAUUGAAUUGAUAAUCGUAGAAUGGAUUAUGGGUUGAGUUAAGAUGGAAGUAAUAAGCCUUGGUGUUUUGUAGUUUGAUACUUGAUUUCAGAUAGCUAGAAUACAAUCAAUUGUGACACUAACAGAUAGCCAGAAUACAAUCAAUUGUGACACUAACAGAUCCAAUUCAUAUAACCAAUCUUUUCCCGUAUUCGAACCUACCUCUAUUAGUUCAAUUGCUUUGGUCUAGUGAAGCUUGAAUGCAAUGAGAACAACAUUUUGGCACCGCUGCCGAGGAAAUGAUAACAAUAUGAAAUGUUAAAAAUUGAUUGUAUAGAAGCUGGAAUUAUAUGUUGAAUGAGAACGUGAGAAGAACGAGUUUUAGGAUUACAAAUAUGUGAGUUAUAAUUGAAGGCAGUAUUGAUUUUGUAAAGAAGAAUGAAAGAUUUUGAGUGAUAAUCAUAGGAGGGAGGAUUAUCAAAGAUAUAAUCGACAAGCGAAAGAAAGAAAAGAGUAAUUACGCAUAAGAAAUAACCUACAGGAAUGAUAAAAAAGAAUUGCAGGUCCAAAAAAAACCAAAGAAAGAAAAAUUCAGAUUCAAAUAGUAACGAGACCAGUGAUAACACCAAUGACCACGGGAGUGCCAAAAGUACCAAUUGUAGUAUAAAUGGGAGCAAUAAGAGACCAAACUACAAAUAUGGCACCAUUACCUACUUUUAGUGGUUGGCCGGGCUCUGAUCCCGAUUAUCAUAUAUCUCAAUUCUUGACAGCUUGCGUUGCUAAUAAUGGUAGAACUAAAGACAUUUGGUUAAGAUGGUUGCUAGUAACUUUAAAAGAUAUAGCUUUUGAAUGAUAUAUUUGGCAACCAGUGGAUAGAUUUCUUAAUUGGAAGGCCUUGAGGAAUGCCUUCCUAAUCCAUUUUAGACCAAUUGGAUUUGAAGAUCGGCUUCGAGAAAGUUUUAUGAAUAGUAGGAUGUUUACAAGGGAAUCCAUAGAGUCCUAUUAUGGCCGGAUCGUGGACAUACUUCGUAAAUGGUCAAAUAAUCAAAUACCAGAUGCAAUUAUAUUGUCGAUAUUAAUUAAUGGUUUAUAUCUACUAGAAUUGAAAAUGUUUGUAAAAGAAGCUCGACUAGCUAUGGUAGAGGCAUCCUUGGCACGAGCAAAGGUAUGAGAAGAAUGUCAUUAUGACCAAUUAUUAACAAUGGGGGCCACGAUGAUUCAAAGUUUAGGGAGCCAACAAAUACAAUUGAGAAAUGUGUCGAUGGAUGAUUAUCCACAAAUGGCUGCCUCCAAUGUGAAGAAUGUUAUGUUGCAACAAUCAAUUAAUGCUACACCACUCCAAGCAAUAGUGCCAAUAAUGAUGACACCUUAUUUUACAUCGCCAACCUAUCAACAACUGGAGUUGUUCACAAAUGCGACUGUUAAAGAUCCAAAUGAAGCCUUGUUAUUAAAUCUAACAAAGAAAAUGGAAGAAUUGGCUAUGAAUUUUACUAAAGAUAAGGAGAAAUGACAAAAGCCUUUUAAUAUGAGACCUAAUGUAUGGUGUAAUAAUUAUAAGGGAUAAGAUCAUUUUGAUAUGGAAUUUCCAUCAUCCAAACAAACGAAUGUUCAAUGUACAUUUUGUGGAGGAAAGUAUCAUACCCAAAAUUAUUGGCAUUUAUAAAGGCAACAAUUCAAUAAUCAGACCAUGAUCCCACUAACUCAGUGGGAAGUCAAUCAAGUUCAAUCGAGAAAUACAUAUGGAUGGAAUGGAAAUUGAUCUAAUUGAUAAAAUCAAACAUUUAAUAAUUUUUAAAGUUACAAUUUUAAUCAGGGAUCUGCAUCAAACCCUCAGAAAUACGGGAAGGAGCAACAGAGGUAUCAGCAAUAUGUUCCAUUGGUGUCAUCAAACCAAGUACCCUCCGUACCAAUGGGACAAUUAGGAUCAUUUUUUAAUCCUACAUGGAACAAGCCUAGUAGGUAUAUACCGAUGGAGACAUCCAAUAUGCCAGAUGGAAGUGCAAGAAGACCACUUCCUUAUUUCCAUUGUAGACAGAUUAGUCAUUAUGCCUGUGAAUGUUUCAAUCCCAGAGCUAGUGACGAUUAUGUACCAGAAUGUGCAAAUUGCAAGCAGUCGGGACAUACUUAUCAGGAAUGUAAUGCUCCAUUAAAUUUCAAUAAUUGAGAUCAGCAGAUCCAAAGCCAAGGAAAAAUGAAGGAGAUAAAUCAAGGUCCUCAAGAUUCACUAGUUCAUUGGGUAGAAGUAGUCCAAGUUGUCCUUACAAAAAGUCAGUAAAAGAAAAAAGGACUAAUUCAACAUUUGGGUGAUCCUGAAGCGAAGGACCAAUUGGACCCAAUUACAGGGACAUCCAAUCCAGGUCCUAACAUAGGUCCUUUACUCAAUAUAAGACCUAAAUCAGUUACGUACUCCAAUGAGGUACCAAUUACCUCAGGAACCAAUAUCAGCCCAAUUGAAAGAACAAUCUUACCCGUUGAAAGAAUCAAUUUUAUAUGCUCCAUCAAAUUCAGUUCCAGGAGCUUUAUCAAUUUUUAAUAUAGAAAAAACCAAUUUACCUAUGUCGAUGUCUAGGACUGGGAAGAAAAAAUGGAUAUUGGAAAUUACCACUAAUACAGAACAAUAUGAUAUUCUAAAAGAUUUGGGCACCAUACAACCCAUGAUCUCCAUGAAGCAACUAUUGGCGGUAGCACCUAAGUGCCAAACUAUCUUGAAUUCCUCAUUAAUUCGUCGCAGAUCUUGAAAUAAAGAAAUCCAAGAAAUAAGUUUGAAUUCCGAUCCGGAUGCACCUACGAUUGAUGUCUCAAUUGAUGGAGUGUUAUUAUCGGGAGUGCAAGUAGAUGGAGGAUCUAAUGUAAAUCUUAUGAAUGCCACUACAAUCGAGGAACUGGAUUUGGAUCACUUAUUGCCUACUACAUUAGUUUUGAGAAGGGCUUUAGCUUGAUACAACCAUGGAUUUAACUCGAAAUGACUGGGGCCGUGGUACAUUGACAAUUGGAAAAGGUAAUGAUAAAAUUAUGCUUCAAAUAUAUCCUAUCCAAUAUCAUGGAGAAACUCAAGUUGCCAGUUCAAAAUUCACGUCAGAUUGUGAAGAUGACUCUAUAGAAGAAGAAAUUGGUACAUCUGACCCAAUUUAUGCUGAUACAAGGCAAGUUGUCGAGCAUACUAGAAUGAACUACCACUAUAGGGGACUGGGAGAGUACUUAGUUCCUCCACAUAUUAUUGACGAUUCUGAUCAUAUGAUUACAUAUUGGAUGAAUAGACGAGAUGUUAAUCACAUUAGUGGUAUGGAACUAGAGAUGGAAAGUUCUAAUGUGUCGGAUUUUAUGAAAGAUUCUAGAAUUGAGUAGAACAUCAAUCCAGGGAUUCUUGAAAUUCCACGAUGUCAACCAGUUAAUUUAGGUACAGGAGAGGCUCUCCAAAUCUUUCAGAUUUUCGACCGUAUAAAAGGUAAGGAAAAAGAAAUUUGGGUGGAUUACUUUUUAAUGCAUAAAACUACUUUUGCAUGGUUGUAUGCGAAUUUGAAAGGAAUUUUAGCUGAAGUUUGUCAGCAUCAAAUUAUAUUGGAGGAGAACACUACACAAAUAUAACAAAGACAACAUCGACUUAAUCCAAAAUACUCACUUAUGAUAAAAGAACAACUGGAUAAACUGUUGGAGGUUGGAUUUAUCUAUCCAGUUUCUUUCAGUGAAUGGAUUUCACCAAUUGUUAUAGUGCCAAAAAAGAAUGGAAAAGUUUGCAUUUGUCAAGAUUUUUAAAAAUUAAAUACGGCUAUCAAGAAGGAUUAUUUUUCUUUAUCAUUCAAAGAUAGUAUAUUGGAUGCUGUCGCUACACAUGAAUAUUAUUUAUUUCUUGAUGGAUUCUCCGGUUAUAAUCAAGUUAAGAUUACAAAAGAAGACUCGUUAAAAACUACUUUUACUACAGAUUAAGGGACCUUUGCUUAUAAGGUUAUGCCAUUUGGACUUUGUAAUGCACCAAUUAUAUUUCAAAAGGUAAUGAUAUAAGCAUUCCAAGAUUAUCUACGAAUUUCAAUGAAAAUAUUUCUAGAUAAUUUUUGUACAUUUAGUACGAGAGCUAGGCAUUUAGAAUGUCUAGGUCAAUAUUUGAAUCAAUGUGCCAAAUAUGGAAUUUCUUUAAAUUUGAAAAAGUACCAAUUUGGUGUGUCUUCUAGUAAACUAUUGGGUCAUAUAGUUUUCAUGGCAAGAAUUGCUACAGAUCCGGAUAAAAUAAAGAUUAUAGUAGAAUUAAAGCAACUAGAUAUUGUUACGAGUGUUCAAGCAUUUGUUGGCUAUGUUAAUUAUUAUCGAUGAUUUAUCUAUCUAUUCACAGUUAUAUGCCUUUCUUUGAAAAAUCUCUUAAAGAAACCACCAACCAAUGGGACCAAUCUAUUUUGGACAAAGGAAUGUACAAUUGUAUUCGAAACAUUGAAAUAGAAAUUGGUUACAGCACCAAUAUUGGUGGCACCUUGUUGAACAAAACCAUUCCAAAUUUAUGUGGAUGCAUCUAAUGUCACAAUUGCUUCUGUACUAAGCCAGAAAGAUGACCAAGGUUUUGAUCACCUUAUUUAUUAUGCAAGUCGUCAAUUGGUAGCAGCUGAAAGAAAUUAUACAACAACCAAAAGAGAAGCAUUGAGAAUGAUUUAUUUCGUACAAAAGUUUCGACAUUAUCUUUUUGGUUAUAAAUUUAUUUUCUAUAUCGACCAUGAUGCUUUAAAAUAUAUGUUUAAUAAACCUCAAUUGAGUAGUCAUAUUGCACGAUGGAUUCUACUCUUGCAAGAAUUUGACUUUACUAUUCAAGUAAGACUAGAAAAAUUACAUUCCAAUACAGACCAUUUAUCUUGAUUAUCCAAUAUAUUGGAUAAUGAACCCAUUAACGAUGCACUACCCGAUGCGAAACUGUUUGCGGUAGAUGUAAUUUCUCGAGAAUAUAGUGAAAUAAUUCAAUACUUGACAUUUCAAACCUUCUCACCCAAUUUCAAUGAAAAGCUUAAACGACGCUUAAUAUUAAAAUGUGCACCUUAUACGAUGAUUGGUGAAGUUUUAUAUAAAGAAGGCAAGAAUGGAGUUUUACGAUGCUAUAUUUAAUAGACUGAAGUGCAUACUAUAUUGGAAGGUUACCACUUGGACAGUUGUGGUGGACAUUUUGUGGGAGACAGCACGGCUCGUAAAGCUUUACAGGCUAGUUAUUAGUGGCCAACAAUAUUUGUAGAUGCCUACCAAUUUGUCCGUCAUUGUGAUCCAUGUCAGAGAAUGGAUCGACCUACUGGAACUUCAGUAAUGCCAUUGGUACCAAUUCCUGCUUAAGUGCCUUUUAAAAAAUGGGGAAUUGAUUUUGUGGAAUCAAUUACACCAACCUUGAGAAAUAGAUAAAAAUGGUAUAUACUGGUCGCAAUGGAUUACAUAACAAAAUGGGCUGAAGCAAUAGCUACGAAAAUUGAUAGUGCAAGUACAAUAACAACUUUUUUGUAUGAAAAUAUUAUUAUACAAUUCGGUUGUCCAUGAGAAUUGGUUAGUGAUCGGAGAAUUCAUUUUAUCAAUAGUACAAUCGAAGCACUCAUGGCUAAAUACGAGAUAAAACAUCCGAAGACUACACCGUAUCAUCCUAGAGCCAAUGGACAAACGGAAAAAACUAAUGGAAUUUUAUAUAAAAUCUUAACAAAAAUAGUUUCACGAACGGGAACAGAUUGGGACACUAAGUUAUUUGUAGCUUUUUGGGUAUACCAUACUACGUAUAAAGUUACUACCAAUGCUACCCCUUUCCAAUUGGUUUAUGUCUACAAAGCAAUCAUACCUAUUGAAUUGGAAGUCCAAAGUUUACGAAGUGCUAUAGAUAAUAGAUUGAGAGAUCAAGAUUCAUUAUGGCACUGUUUAGAAGAAUUGAAAAAAUUGGAUGAAACUAGAGCCAAUGCAUUAAUGAUAAUGGAAACUAUCCAAAAACGAAGGAAGACUUAUUAUGAUAGUAAGCUUAGACCAAAGGCUUUUAUGCCAAAUAAUUUGGUACUCCUUUACGAUAGUCGAUUUAAAAAUUUUCUUAAAAAAUUUCAAGUUCGAUGGCAUGGGCCAUAUCGAGUUAUUGACGGAUUUCCAAAUCAUUCAGUACAAUUAGAAGACUUUAUGGGUAUUAAAUUUGCAACACGGAUCAAUGGUAAUUGGCUUAAACUUUAUUAUAUAUAAACCCAUGAUGGAUUUUCUGUUACAAAAAAAGGAGUCGACCAAAUUGAUUGGACCAUAAUAUGAAGUAGGAGGGAGGCUCUUGACAAGCAUUGUGUUUUCUUUUGUGAUUAAGGAGAAGAUGAUGAACAUGAUAUCUGAGACAAUAAAGAUAGCGAUCGAUUGGAAGGAAUGGCAAGAACGGCUGCAGAUAGAGGUUGCAAUGUUGCAGACUAAACUAGCAACAUUAGCGAAGGAGGUCAAUAAUUUUGUACGGACCAAUAUGCCAGUUUUAGCGAUAACACCUUCAGAGAUAUAUUUGAAACCGACAAAAGAAUGGCAGAAGAUGUUGGAGGAGUGUGACAACCAAAUUGCCCAAUGUGAGUCUUAGGUAUGAGAAUUGGGUUUGUUGAAUGAAGAUCUGACGAUGUAUUUGGAUGGAGAACCAUCAAACACCAAGGCAGACGACAAAGAUAUAAAGAGGAGAAGGUCACCAAUUCAGAGAGUGGUAAGCCAAUGCCAUUGACUGAAGAAGCCAACACUACUAUGUCUUUAUAAGUUGAGGCUAAAUAAUGUUUGCAAGGACACUGCACAAUUAGGAGUGGGGCUACGUAGAAUAGGUAAAUAAAAUUUGUUGUAAGUUACUGGUUGGUUAUUGAUAACCUUGAGAAUUAGACUGAUGAUUAGGUAGUUUAGCUGGUAACAAUAAGUUGUUAGUAGAAUAAAUGGUUAAGAAUUCAAAUGGUCAUAACCUUUGGAAUUCGCUGGCUGACGGAUCAUCUUUUUCAUAGGAUAAAUAGGUUGAGGAAAGAAAGAUCAAGAGUCAGACUAAGAGUCAUAAAUCGAGCGUCAGACUGAGAGUCAUAAGUCAAGAACCAAAUUGAGAGUCAUAAGUCGAGAGCUAGAUUGAGAAUCGUAAGCCAAGGACCAAACUGAGAGUCGUAAGCCAAGGUAAGCUUGGUGCUACUUCUUUUUUUUCUUUAUUAUUUGUUUAUGAAGAAUGGUGAUUG